rnacentral:rRNA from 1 species
UACGGGGGGAGCAAGCGUUGUUCGGAUUUACUGGGCGUAAAGGGCGCGUAGGCGGUUGGAUAAGUCAGCUGUGAAAACCACGGGCUUAACUCGUGGCCUGCAGUUGAGACUGUCUGGCUUGAGUGUGGGAGAGGAGAGUGGAAUUCCUGGUGUAGCGGUGAAAUGCGUAGAUAUCAGGAGGAACACCGGUGGCGAAGGCGGCUCUCUGGACCACAACUGACGCUGAGGCGCGAAAGCGUGGGGAGCAAACAGG